rnacentral:rRNA from 1 species
UACGUAGGUGGCGAGCGUUGUCCGGAAUUACUGGGUGUAAAGCGCGCGUAGGCGGGAGGCCAAGUCCGCUGUGAAAUCGCCCGGCUCAACUGGGCGCGGUCGGUGGAAACUGGUCACCUGGAGGACGGUAGAGGCGAGUGGAAUUCCCGGCGUAGUGGUGAAAUGCGUAGAGAUCGGGAGGAACACCAGUGGCGAAGGCGGCUCGCUGGGCCGGCCCUGACGCUGAGGCGCGAAGGCGUGGGGAGCGAACGGG